AUGACAGUAGCCAUAACGACUAAUGUUGUGACAGUAGUGAUGGUGGCACCGGCAGAGGGAAAAAGAUUGGUUUUUGUCACCAACAACUUAACUAAGUCUUGGAAACAAUAUGGAAAGAAGUUUGAAACACUUGGCCUGAAUGUCAAUGAGGAGGAGAUUUCUGCAUCGUCUUUUGAAGUUCCCACGUAUUUGAAAUCCAUUGAUUUCCCAAAAGAUUAA